rnacentral:rRNA from 1 species
GACGAACGCUGGCGGCGUGCUUAACACAUGCAAGUCGAACGGAAAGGCCCUGCUUUUGUGGGGUGCUCGAGUGGCGAACGGGUGAGUAACACGUGAGUAACCUGCCCUUGACUUUGGGAUAACUUCAGGAAACUGGGGCUAAUACCGGAUAGGAGCUCCUGCUGCAUGGUGGGGGUUGGAAAGUUUCGGCGGCUGGGGAUGGACUCGCGGCUUAUCAGCUUGUUGGUGGGGUAGUGGCUUACCAAGGCUUUGACGGGUAGCCGGCCUGAGAGGGUGACCGGCCACAUUGGGACUGAGAUACGGCCCAGACUCCUACGGGAGACAGCAGUGGGGAAUAUUGCACAAUGGGCGGAAGCCUGAUGCAGCAACGCCGCGUGCGGGAUGACGGCCUUCGGGUUGUAAACCGCUUUCGCCUGUGACGAAGCGUGAGUGACGGUAAUGGGUAAAGAAGCACCGGCUAACUACGUG